rnacentral:rRNA from 1 species
AUGGAGGACGUAGCCGGGAUGAUUUUCUCUGGCCCCGAGUUCAAGAAGAUGGACGAGAACAUGCGAAUGCUGACGGUGGACGUCUUCAAGGCCAUCCCCAGGCCGACCGUCUCCACGGCCGCGCCCCUCGCCAGCGCCGCCGCCGCCGCCGCCGCGCGGGACGGCGUCGACCGCAUCAGCCGCCUCCCCGUCGGGAUCCUCCGCAACAUCGUCUCCCGCCUCCCCGCCAAGGACGCCGCGCGCACCACCGCGCUGGCCAAGCGCUGGCGCCGCGUCUGGCACUCGGUGCCGCUCGUCCUCGUCGACGCGCACCUCCUCUCCGACCGCAGCGUCGUGGGGCGCGGCCGCGGCUCCACCCAGUUCCGCGAGAUGGGCCUCGACUCCUGGUACGCCGGCCUGUUUCGCAUCCUGGACGCCAUGGGCACCCUCGCAGACAACGUGUCCCACGUCCUCGCCGCGCACCCGGGCCCCUUCGCCUUCGUCUACCUCGCCGGCAACAACAUGUUGUAUCACCCGGACAAGUUGGAGCUCUGGCUCAAACUCCUCGCCGCCAAGGGCGUCAAAGAACUCGUCUUUGUGAACCUCGCAUCCAAGUUCGACGACCAGCUGCCCAUACCCGCCGAGCUCUUCAACUGCACCGCCCUCACCAAGCUCUACAUCGGCACCUGGUGCUUCCCGGACACAAGCACAUCCCACCUCCCGCCUACUGCCGCGUUCCCCUACCUCCGGGAGCUUGGCCUCUGCAACCUCCUCAUCAAGGACGAGGACCUCGCCUUCCUGCUGGACAGAUGCCCCGUCCUGGAGAAGCUCAUGAUCGCCAGAGCCCGGUGGCCAGUGUGCCUCCGCAUCCACAGCCGCAGUCUACGAAGCGUUCAGGUGUGCAUGGCUAUCGUGCCAGAAAUCAAUGUGGUGCGCGCUACACGCCUGGAGAGGCUCUUUCUGUGGGAAGCUUGGGGUUGGGGCGACCGUGAUCUCACCAACAUGUCCUCCAAAGUCAAGAUCGGCCAUGCACCCAAGCUGCGCUUCCUGGGAUUCUUGGUGCCUGGAAUGCACCAACUUGAGAUUGGCAACACAGCCAUCAUGGCUAACACCAAGGCAAGUCCAAACACCACUGUCCCAAGCGUUCAGAUGCUGGGAGUUCAAGUGAAACUUGGAACCCACUUUGAAGCCAGGAUGCUGCCUAGUUUCCUCAGAUGCUUUCCUAACAUCGAGACGCUCUAUGUCCAGUCCGAGAAUGAUGACUUCAAGUUCUGGGGACCUAAAACUGGUGGCACAAGCAAAGCCAUCAACCUCAAGUUCUGGAAGGAUGCUGGUCCUAUUGAAUGCAUCCAGAGGCACAUCAAGAAGUUGGUUCUCCGUGAGUUCCGGGGGAGGAAAAGCGAGCUUGACUUCCUCAAGUACAUUGCCGAGCAUGCGCAAGUUCUGGAGGAGAUGGUGAUUGUGAUGACCCAUGGGCAUUUGCCGUCAGAUAAUUUGGGUGCCAAGCUGAGGAUCUUCAUGGCUUCUGCAAAAUGGGCUAAUGGAUGCUGCAAGAUGAUGGUCUUCAAGAGUCCAUUUGAGCAAGAAGGCACCGUUAAGUCCAAUUUAUCACUAUGCCACAUGCACUGCACUGUCUGA